CGCGUAGGCGGUUUUUUAAGUGAGAUGUGCAAUCCCCGAGCUUAACUUGGGAACUGCAUCUCAGACUGGAAGGCUAGAGUGCUGGAGAGGGUGGUAGAAUUCCACGUGUAGCGGUGAAAUGCGUAGAGAUGUGGAGGAAUACCAGUGGCGAAGGCGGCCACCUGGACAGUAACUGACGCUGAGGCGCGAAAGUGUGGGUAGCAAACAGGAUUAGAUACCCUGGUAGUCCACGCUGUAAACGAUGAACACUUGGUGUGGCGGGAGUUGACCCCUGCCGUGCCGUAGCUAACGCGAUAAGUGUUCCGCCUGGGGAGUACGGUCGCAAGGCUGAA
rnacentral:rRNA from 1 species